UUCUCGCCGAUUUGAUGGGGGUGAAAUGAUAUCUUAAACUAGUGCAUAUAAAAUUUUGUAAGUAAAAGGAAUAUAAUUGUAAGACUUAAAAUAGUAUUAACAGUAGUAUCGUACAUUGGUCUUUUUAUGUUUUUUUUUUUUUUUUUUUUUUUUUUUUUUUUUUUUUUUUUUUUUUUUUUUUUUUUUUUUAUAUAUGUUUUUUUUUUUUUUUUUUUUUUUUUUUUUUUUUUUUUUUUUUAUGAUAUUUUUUUUUUUUUUUUUUUUUUUUUUUUUUUUUUUUUUUUUUUUUUUUUUUUUUUAUAUAAUACAAUAAUAUAGAUAAUAUAUUA
rnacentral:misc_RNA from 1 species